GAACGCAUCUUGCGCUCCUUGGUAUUCCGAGGAGCAUGCCUGUUUGAGUGUCAUUAAAUUCUCAAACCAUGACUUUGUUGUUAUGGCUUGGAUAGUUGGGUGUUGCCAGCUUUUUUUUUUUAUUGCAGGCUCACCUUAAAUACAUAAGUGGUGCAUUUAGAAACUUGUUAGGUGUUGUAAAUUAUCAAUACAUCUAUGUUUCUCUGAAUAUACUGCUUCUAACAACCUCAUUUGAUGAUUUUGACCUCAAAUCAGGUAGGACUACCCGCUGAACUUAAG
rnacentral:misc_RNA from 1 species